rnacentral:rRNA from 1 species
UACGGAGGUGGCAAGCGUUGUCCGGAAUUAUUGGGCGUAAAGCGCACGUAGGCGGAUUGUUAAGUCAGGGGUGAAAUCCCGGGGCUCAACCCCGGAACUGCCUUUGAUACUGAUAGUCUCGAGUCCGGAAGAGGUGAGUGGAAUUCCGAGUGUAGAGGUGAAAUUCGUAGAUAUUCGGAGGAACACCAGUGGCGAAGGCGGCUCACUGGUCCGGUACUGACGCUGAGGUGCGAAAGCGUGGGGAGCAAACAGG